rnacentral:rRNA from 1 species
AUGGAGCUGCUCUUCAAGGUCCGUCCCCCUCCCGCAUGCACGCAAGUCAAGGUGGCCAGGGUCUCUGCCGUCGGCGUCGGCAUCGUCUAUGGCUCCAUCAAGAUCCACAUCCUCAAGAUUAAGUGUGUUCAAGUGUAUACUGCUGAACCUGGCAGUGGCCACCAUUUUCAGUCCAAGUGA